rfam:Knoellia subterranea KCTC 19937 contig5, whole genome shotgun sequence.
AGGGCCUUCGGGUCGACCAUGCGCUUGACGAGCAUGUAGUCGCGCAUCGCGAUGCCGUGCCGCCCCUC